AUUGAACGCUGGCGGCAUGCCUUACACAUGCAAGUCGAACGGUAACAGGUCUUCGGAUGCUGACGAGUGGCGAACGGGUGAGUAAUACAUCGGAACGUGCCCAGACGUGGGGGAUAACGAGGCGAAAGCUUUGCUAAUACCGCAUACGAUCUAAGGAUGAAAGCAGGGGACCGCAAGGCCUUGCGCGUUUGGAGCGGCCGAUGGCAGAUUAGGUAGUUGGUGGGAUAAAAGCUUACCAAGCCGACGAUCUGUAGCUGGUCUGAGAGGACGACCAGCCACACUGGGACUGAGACACGGCCCAGACUCCUACGGGAGGCAGCAGUGGGGAAUUUUGGACAAUGGGCGAAAGCCUGAUCCAGCAAUGCCGCGUGAAGGAUGAAGGCCUUCGGGUUGUAAACUGCUUUUGUACGGAACGAAAAGGCUCUGGCUAAUACCUGGGGCACAUGACGGUACCGUAAGAAUAAGCACCGGCUAACUACGUG
rnacentral:rRNA from 1 species